AUCAAAGAUACUUUAUACCUUAUGAAUACAAAAAUAAGAUAAUAAAUAAAUUUUAAUCCACUAAAUAUCAAGUAUAAAUAUAAAAACAUAUUAAAGAAUCAGAGUCAAAGAUUAAAAAGAUAAUAGUGGUUCGUGCCCCGUCCCAUUGUCAUAUUUAUUCGGGACGGGGGGUUAUAUGGUAGGGGGGGCAGAAGUGUGUGGGUUAUAUGGUAGGGGGGCAGAAGUGUUAAAUUUUGGUGGGGAAAUGAGUAACUGCGAGAUAAAAAGUUGAGUUAGAAAGUGAAAAAAUUGAACAUAUUUAUGAUUUAUUGAUGUAAAUUUCUCUUACAUUUACUUUCCUUGAUUUUCGAACAAUGUGAUUGAAAUCAGGUUGAGAUGCAGCGGUAUUGGGCACCACGAGCACGUGAAAUGAAAGCGAAAGGUGCAGUGACGCACGGAGGUAGAUAGAUAAAUGGGAUAAUACAAGUGCUAUGUGGGGUACCCAUGCAUAUAUGACUUGGGUACUAGACAACUACUAAGAUCAAUGAAUCAAUUUAUAUGUGAGUGACCAGUGAUAUUUCAAUGCUUAUUUAUUUUAACUAUUUAAACAUUUAUCAUGUUUAUAUUUUUUCACUUUUUUAAGAAAAAAUCAAUGAAUUAAAUUAUGGG
rnacentral:lncRNA from 1 species